rnacentral:rRNA from 1 species
UCAAGAAACUUCCACAAUGGGCGAAAGCCUGAUGGAGCGACGUCGCGUGAUGGACGAAGUGCUUCGGCACGUAAACAUCUUUUAUGUGGGAUGAAAUUAUUGACAGUACCACAUGAAUAAGGGGCUCCUAACUCUGUGCCAGCAGGAGCGGUAAUACGUAGGGACCAAGCGUUGUUCGGAUUUACUGGGCGUAAAGGGCGCGUAGGCGGCAAUUCAAGUCAUCUGUGAAAUCUCCGGGCUUAACUCGGAACGGUCAGAUGAUACUGCUUUGCUAGAGUGCAGAAGGGGCAAUCGGAAUUCUUGGUGUAGCGGUGAAAUGCGUAGAUAUCAAGAGGAACACCUGAGGUGAAGACGGGUUGCUGGGCUGACACUGACGCUGAGGCACGAAAGUGUGGGGAUCAAACAGGAUUAGAUACCCUCGUAGUCCCUGAGCGGGCUGGCAAGGCGCAU